UGAAAGAAGUCUGAAAGUUAUAAUCCAGUGUUUAUAUUCAGGGUGGUCUAGUCAGGACUGGGAUCUCAGUCCUUAUGGUUUAGGCUUCCCCUGCGUGAAA